CAAGACUUAACAAGAGUUAAGUAGUUUAGAUAGAUAGAUAGAUAGAAUACUUUAUUUAUGCCAAAGUUAGUACCAGAUGGCAAUUUUUUACAUGCAUAUACAAGAAGAUUACAAAAAAUUCUUAAUGUAUACAAAUAUAAUUAAAAACAA